rnacentral:tRNA from 1 species
AGUAGGGUGGCUGAAUUAGGCUAUAGAUUGUAAAUUUAUAUAUGAGCAUUAUUAUUAAACUCUCUUACUA